rnacentral:rRNA from 1 species
UGGGGAAUAUUGCACAAUGGGGGAAACCCUGAUGCAGCGACGCCGCGUGAGCGAUGAAGUAUUUCGGUAUGUAAAGCUCUAUCAGCAGGGAAGAUAAUGACGGUACCUGACUAAGAAGCUCCGGCUAAAUACGUGCCAGCAGCCGCGGUAAUACGUAUGGAGCAAGCGUUAUCCGGAUUUACUGGGUGUAAAGGGAGCGUAGGCGGUCCUGCAAGUCUGAUGUGAAAACCCGGGGCUCAACCCCGGGACUGCAUUGGAAACUGUAGGACUAGAGUGUCGGAGGGGUAAGUGGAAUUCCUAGUGUAGCGGUGAAAUGCGUAGAUAUUAGGAGGAACACCAGUGGCGAAGGCGGCUUACUGGACGACCACUGACGCUGAGGCUCGAAAGCGUGGGGAGCAAACA